CGGACGGGUGAGUAACACGUGGAUAACCUACCUAUAAGACUGGGAUAACUUCGGGAAACCGGAGCUAAUACCGGAUAAUAUAUUGAACCGCAUGGUUCAAUAGUGAAAGACGGUUUUGCUGUCACUUAUAGAUGGAUCCGCGCCGCAUUAGCUAGUUGGUAAGGUAACGGCUUACCAAGGCAGCGAUGCGUAGCCGACCUGAGAGGGUGAUCGGCCACACUGGAACUGAGACACGGCCCAGACUCCUACGGGAGGCAGCAGAC
rnacentral:rRNA from 1 species